rnacentral:pre_miRNA from 1 species
UAUGUACUCCCUCCGUUCCAAAAUACUUGACUUCCAUUUGUCCAAAAAUGGAUGUACCUAUAUACUAAAACAUGUCUAGAUACAUAUAUAUUUUGACAAAUAGAAGGCAUGUAUUGUGCAAUGGAGGGAGUAGAAU